rnacentral:rRNA from 1 species
GUGGGGAAUAUUGGUCAAUGGUCGCAAGACUGAACCAGCCAUGCCGCGUGCAGGAAGACGGUCCUAUGGAUUGUAAACUGCUUUUAUACAGGAAGAAACCCUCCCACGUGUGGGAGCUUGACGGUACUGUAGGAAUAAGGAUCGGCUAACUCCGUGCCAGCAGCCGCGGUAAUACGGAGGAUCCAAGCGUUAUCCGGAAUCAUUGGGUUUAAAGGGUCCGUAGGCGGUCUUAUAAGUCAGUGGUGAAAGCCCAUCGCUCAACGAUGGAACUGCCAUUGAUACUGUAGGACUUGAAUGCUUAGGAAGUAACUAGAAUAUGUAGUGUAGCGGUGAAAUGCUUAGAUAUUACAUGGAAUACCAAUUGCGAAGGCAGGUUACUACUAAGUGAUUGACGCUGAUGGACGAAAGCGUGGGGAGCGAACAGGAUUAGAUACCCUUGUAGUCC